rfam:Echinostoma caproni strain Egypt genome assembly, scaffold: ECPE_scaffold0003386
GACGGGGUGGCCGAGUGGUUAAGGCGAUGGAAUGCUAAUCCAUUGGGGUUUUACCGCAUGGGUUCGAAUCCCAUCCCCGUCG